AACGAACGCUGGCGGCAGGCCUAACACAUGCAAGUCGAUCGCUGUAGCAAUACAGAGUGGCAGACGGGUGAGUAACGCGUGGGAACAUGCCCUUCGGUUCGGAAUAACUCAGGGAAACUUGAGCUAAUACCGGAUACGCCCUUAGGGGGAAAGAUUUAUUGCCGAAGGAUUGGCCCGCGUCCGAUUAGCUAGUUGGUGAGGUAAUGGCUCACCAAGGCGACGAUCGGUAGCUGGUCUGAGAGGAUGAUCAGCCACACUGGGACUGAGACACGGCCCAGACUCCUACGGGAGGCAGCAGUGGGGAAUAUUGGACAAUGGGCGCAAGCCUGAUCCAGCCAUGCCGCGUGAGUGAUGAAGGCCCUAGGGUUGUAAAGCUCUUUCGCCAGGGACGAUAAUGACGGUACCUGGAUAAGAAGCCCCGGCUAACUUCGUGCCAGCCGCCGCGGUAA
rnacentral:rRNA from 1 species